rnacentral:rRNA from 1 species
GUCUCUGCAAAGAAUGGGAAAUUCGCCCAAUCCUGUCUGAUCUCAGAAGCUAAGCAGGGUCGGGCCUGGUUAGUACUUGGAUGGGAGACCACCUAGGAAGACCAGGUGCUGUAGGCG